UUGUUGCAGUUAAAAAGCUCGUAGUUGAUAUUCGGGUAAAGAAGCUUCUUUAUUGAAGUUUUCUGAGCCUAGGUCUGUACUUGUACAGACCAGUUACUUUGAGAAAAUUAGAGCGCUUAAAGCAGUCAUUGAAUACGUUAGCAUGGAAUAACAGAAGGACGACAUUUCUUUUGUGGGAAUAUCGUAAUUGAUUAACAGGGACAGUCGGGGGCAUCAGUAUUCAGGAGCUAGAGGUGAAAUUCUUGGAUUUCCUGAAGACUAACUAAUGCGAAAGCAUUUGCCAAGGAUGUCUUCAUUAAUCAAGAACGAAAGUUAGGGGAUCGAAGACGAUCAGAUACCGUCGUAGUCUUAACAGUAAACUAUGCCGAUAGAGUGGAGGAUGGACUAUCAAAUCUAUUCUCCGCUCAAGCGAAAGCAGUUGGUUCUGGGGGGAGUAUGGUCGCAAGGCUGAAACUUAAAGGAAUUGACGGAAGGGCACCACCAGGAGUGGAGCCUGCGGCUUAAUUUGACUCAACACGGGGAAACUCACCAGGUCCAGACACAAUGAGGAUUGACAGAUUGAGAGCUCUUUCAUGAUUUUGUGGGGUGGUGGUGCAUGGCCGUUCUUAGUUGGUGGAGUGAUUUGUCUGC
rnacentral:rRNA from 1 species